AUUGAACGCUGGCGGCAGGCUUAACACAUGCAAGUCGAGCGGAAACGAUGGGAGCUUGCUCCCAGGCGUCGAGCGGCGGACGGGUGAGUAACACUUAGGAAUCUACCUAGUAGUGGGGGAUAGCUCGGGGAAACUCGAAUUAAUACCGCAUACGACCUACGGGAGAAAGGGGGCAACUUGUUGCUCUCGCUAUUAGAUGAGCCUAAGUCGGAUUAGCUAGUUGGUGGGGUAAAGGCCUACCAAGGCGACGAUCUGUAGCUGGUCUGAGAGGAUGAUCAGCCACACCGGGACUGAGACACGGCCCGGACUCCUACGGGAGGCAGCAGUGGGGAAUAUUGGACAAUGGGGGCAACCCUGAUCCAGCCAUGCCGCGUGUGUGAAGAAGGCCUUUUGGUUGUAAAGCACUUUAAGCAGUGAAGAAGACCUAACGGUUAAUACCCGUUAGCGAUGACAUUAGCUGCAGAAUAAGCACCGGCUAACUCUG
rnacentral:rRNA from 1 species